UAGGGAAUCUUUGGCCAUGGACGGAAGUCUGACCGAGCAACGCCGCGUGAGUGAAGAAGGUUUUCGGAUCGUAAAGCUCUGUUUCUAGAGAAGAACGUUGGUAGGAGUCGAAAAUCUACCAAGUGACGGUAACUAACCAGAAAGGGACGGCUAACUACGUGCCACCAGCCGCGGUAAUACGUAGGUCCCGAGCGUUGUCCGGAUUUAUUGGGCGUAAAGCGAGCGCAGGCGGUUCUUUAAUUCUGAAGUUAAAGGCAGUGGCUAAACCAAAGUACGCUUUGGAAACUGGAGGAGUUGAGUGAAGAAGGGGAGAGUGGAAUUGCAUGUGUAGCGGUGAAAGGAGUGGAUAUAUGGAGGAACACCGGUGGCGAAGGCGGCUCUCUGGUCUGUAACUGACGCUGAGGCUCGAAAGCGUGGGGAGCAAACAGG
rnacentral:rRNA from 1 species